rnacentral:miRNA from 1 species
UGAGGCAGGAGAAUUGCUUGAACCCAGGAGGUGGAGGCUGCAGUGAGCUGAAAUCGUGCCACUGCACUCCAGCCUGGGUGACAGAGCGAGACUCCAUCUC